ACCCUUUAUAAGGCCGAGAAAACUAGAAGACUUGUCAAAGCAUACUAUUAUGGAAAUGAUUAUAUACAUGAUUACAUGUACAAAGCAAUUUUUGUUUGAAAGAAACUCUCAAAAAUCUAGGUGGCAAUAUAGUUGCCACUGCCCGUUUAGGCCACCAGCGCUGGUGGCAAUAUUCUUGCCACUGCCCGUUUAGGGUACUUUUCUUCUU